GAAGUUAAACUGAAGGUGAGGGUGCCGACCUUUCCACGAAACUGGAAGACAGUGGUGUUCUCCUGGAAAUACUGUGUUUAUUUAUAGCGGAGUAGAACAUUCACUGUCUGAGCCAGACACUACACCAGUAGUGGUAGUCCUAUUGGGUUGAACAUUACCCAAGAGGAUAUGAACGGACAGGGUAAUAUUUGUGUUCUGUAAGUAAGGUAAGUAAAAGGGAGAUAAGAAUGAACGUGAGAUUGUGUAUGUGAGAAUGAG
rnacentral:lncRNA from 1 species